GAACUACCGUACCUCUCACGUUAUGUGAUGCACUAAAGUAUGGUGGAGCGGCGCGGCGAAUAUAUACAAACGUUGGUCUCGUACUUUCCGGAACUUUCGAGAAAUGGCUCGAAGCCAGCCAACCAACCUUCCAUCAACUUCCACAGGUGACUAAGGGGCCAGGAACAUAACCUGUGGGCUAAUGGCACUGGUAUCAGUCAUAUUAUUCUAGGGACUCUAGUAUCAGUGCUCUGUCUACUCCAAUGAACUCCAAUCUACUCCACCUACUCUCAACAGUCAAGUCAGCCCAGUACGCAUAAGUACCCCCAUAGCUGGGUGUUGAGAAGGCAUAAAGUCUUUCACACCGCACUACAAGGACCAACGUUUUCCAAUUAUGGUUCCAAUAUAAUAUACUACGAGAACUAUCCAAUCUGUUAGAUAGUUAUCUAUCUGUGGUUAUAUGUAUGUAUAUCUAACAGGUCGUACUGGUUAUAGCCUAAGGUUUUAGCCAACCAUUCAUGAAAAGUGUUUUAUACAACUUUGUUAAUCAUAAAAUGUCACAAAUCACAAAGUCGUUAAUUGAUCAGCAAAAAAAUGAACAAUUUAAUUCCCCUUAAAAUCGAGUUCAUUGCUCAUACUCUCAACGUACACGAUUGUAUGACAAGAAUACAAUUUAGAGCCUUAGCGGCUAAUACAAAUAUAGUAUCUAUUUAUAAUCAAUUGCACUACAAUCGCAUUAAAUUAUCUAUGAUUUCAUUAAUCAAUUAUCAAUCAACAAUCAGAAGUAUGUAAUACCAAGACAUUACAGAGGGAUCGCGAAUAAAUGGAAAAUCAAAUGAAA